AGAAAUAUUUCUGACAAAAGAAUUAUCUUUAUAGAAUAAAUUAUAGGGGUUUAAAUCCCCUUAUUUCUA
rnacentral:tRNA from 1 species